GAUGAAGAACGUAGCGAAAUGCGAUAAGUAAUGCGAAUUGCAGAAUUCAGUGAAUCAUCGAAUCUUUGAACGCACAUUGCGCCCGCCAGCACUCUGGCGGGCAUGCCUGUCCGAGCGUCAUUUCAACCCUCAGGGCCCCUUCGGGGGACCUGGCGUUGGGGAUCGGCCCGCCCCCGUGCGGCGCCGUCCCCGAAAUAUAGUGGCGGUCUCGCUGCAGCCUCCCCUGCGUAGUAGCACACCUCGCACUGGAGAGCGGCGCGGCCACGCCGUGAAACCCCCAACUUCUGAAUGUUGACCUCGGAUCAGGUAGGAAUACCCGCUGAACUUAAGCAUAUCAAUAAGCGGAGGA
rnacentral:misc_RNA from 1 species